UACGGGGGGGGCAAGCGUUGUUCGGAAUUACUGGGCGUAAAGGGCGCGUAGGCGGUUCGCUAAGUUGAAUGUGAAAACUCUGGGCUUAACCCAGAGCCUGCAUCCAAAACUGGCGAACUGGAGUACUGGAGGGGAAAGCGGAAUUCCUGGUGUAGCGGUGAAUUCGUAGAUAUCUGGAGGAACACCGGUGGCGAAGGCGGCAUCCUGGACCAACACUGACGCUGAGGAGCGAAAGCCAGGGGAGCAAACGGG
rnacentral:rRNA from 1 species